UACGGAGGGUGCGAGCGUUGUUCGGAAUCACUGGGCGUAAAGCGCGUGUAGGCGGCCUCCCAAGUCUGAUGUGAAAGCCCGGGGCUCACCCCCGGAAGUGCAUUGGAAACUGUGAGGCUCGAGUCCCGGAGAGGAGGGUGGAAUUCCUGGUGUAGCGGUGAAAUGCGUAGAUAUCAGGAGGAACACCGGUGGCGAAGGCGGCCCUCUGGACGGUGACUGACGCUGAGACGCGAAAGCGUGGGGAGCAAACAGG
rnacentral:rRNA from 1 species